CUCUGUCCCUAUCUACUAUCUAGCGAAACCACUGCCAAGGGAACGGGCUUGGAAAAAUCAGCGGGGAAAGAAGACCCUGUUGAGCUUGACUCUAGUCUGGCACUGUAAGGAGACAUGAGAGGUGUAGCAUAAGUGGGAGACGGUAUCCAUCCCGUCGCCGGUGAAAUACCACUACUUUCAUCGUUUCUUUACUUACUUGGUUAGGCGGAGGGCGUACGUCGAGGGUAUUUCGCCCCGGCGUUACGGUCUUCUCGCGCCAAGCGUUCAAGGGUUGCCGGCGGACAGGGUGCGGGCCGCUCGUCGGCGAGUCGUGUAACCUGGCUUGCCAGGCCACGGCCCGGCUGUGGCUGCGGCAUCUCUGCCACCGACCGGCAAACACUCCCUAGCGUGAUCCGAUCCGAGGACACUGCCAGGCGGGGAGUUUGACUGGGGCGGUACAUCUGUCAAAGAAUAACGCAGGUGUCCUAAGGCCAGCUCAGUGAGGACAGAAACCUCGCGUAGAGCAAAAGGGCAAAUGCUGGCUUGAUCCCGAUGUUCAG
rnacentral:rRNA from 1 species